rnacentral:lncRNA from 1 species
AAAACCCUAAACAUCACACAAAUCACCAAAAAACGCAAAUGAAAAUCUGGAAAAUGACUGAUUUCGGUUUCGGUAAACCAUAGUAUGGGUGUUAACUUGAGAAGAAACCCACUUCUAAGUUCUUUUUUCUGAACUGGGUUUGUGGAAUUUGGAUGUUAUUGUUGACAGGAAAAUGAACGCACAAGCAGCGAUGCAGAUGAGUGGCGAGCUAUGGGAAACAUGGAUCACA